UGGGCAGGGAUGUGUUUUACCAGUUCAAACUGAUUCACCAUCUGUAUCCUGUCUUAAGGAAGACUGUCUUGGAGUCUGUGUUGAUAGCUUGAUGCUCACGUUAUUGCAAUGUAUUCUACACUGGGCAAGUAAGCAGCUUCAGCUGGUCCAGAAUGCAGCUGAGAAUCUGCUCCAGGUGCCGUGGACAUCAAGUAGCUAGGUCAGUGGCUAUGAGGAGCAGAUCUUUCUCAGCUCUGGCACCAGUUGUUUGAAACAAUCUUCCUUGGGACAUCCAACACACUCUUGUAUCCUGAUGUCAUCAAAACAUAUUUAUUUGGGACAACUUGAGAAUCCAUCAAACAACAAUUGCAGAUUUCCCAUGAUUGUGCAGAACAUAUUUGACAGUUGCUGCAGAUAUUAAGGAAUUAAGAAGCAGCUGUAGAGGCUACAAUCUUGAGCAGAGGACCAAAGGAAAGAAAACAAGGGGCUGCUGAAUUCUGCUACGUAUGGCCAUUUCGACACCCAGAAUCCCUGGAAAUACAGUGUUUUUACCUGUGAGGGGGAUGAGCACACUUUUUUUAAAAAAUGAAUGGAAGUGAAAGUAGCCUCUGUCACUCCUGUAGCCCCAACCUCUGCGCAGUAGUGUAGUUCCUAAAACUAGGGGCAGCUUCAAGGAUCGACAUGGUGCCGCAUUUGUUGAGGGCCCAUGACAAGACCUCCCUGGACUCACAGAGGGAGAGGGGCCCAUGGAGAAUGUCCUGCCCAAGAGCCUGCCACAACCUGGAGCCAACACUGUGUAGAGCUGCUCCUGCUCCCUUGGGGAAGGGAUACACAUGAAUGAGGUAUAUCACAAUCCUGUGUACAUUUGCUCAGACAUAAGUCCCAUUGAAUCCAAUGGAGCUGAAGGUAUUUAGGGUUGCAGUUUGAGGCUGCAAUCCAAUACAUAGCUGGGAGUAAACCUCACUGAAUUCAGUGGGGCUUUCAUGUGAGUAGGCACAUAUCUGUGCUCUGAGUGUCACAGAUAGUUUGAGUCUCUGAUGACCAAUGCAAGUUAUAAAAACACUCAACUUCUAAUUGCACAUUCAGAUGAUCAACUAUUCCAGACAAGAAAUAUGGGUACUGGUUUAUACUGAGCCUUUCAAAAACAUCUAGUUUAUAUGAUAGCAGUGUGUUUUGUUAGAUGUGACAUCCAAAUGCUCAUAAAACAACACAAGGUCUAUAUAACAAAAUGACAUAAAAUCAAAUUCUUUGCUGAAAACAAA